rnacentral:rRNA from 1 species
AUUGAACGCUGGCGGCAGGCCUAACAAAUGCAAGUCGAACGAGUGGCGGACGGGUGAGUAAUGUCUGGGAAACUGCCUGAUGGAGGGGGAUAACUACUGGAAACGGUAGCUAAUACAGCAUAACAUCGGAUGAGCCCAGAUGGGAUUAUCUAGUAGGUGGGGUAACGCCUCACCUAGGCGACGAUCCCUAGCUGGCCUUAGAGGAUGACCAGCCACACUGGACUUGGUACACGGUCCAGACUCCUACGGGAUGCAGCAGUGGGGAAUAUUGCACAAGUGGCGCAAGCCUGAUGCAGCCAUGCCGCGUGUAGGAAGAAGGCCUGCUGGUUGUAAAGUUCUUGCAGCGGGGAGGCGUUACCCGCAGAAGAAGCACCGGCUAACUCCGUGCCAGCAGCCGCGGUAAUUC